UUACUGGGCGUAAAGCGCACGUAGGCGGCUUGGCAAGUCAGGGGUGAAAUCCCGGAGCUCAACUCCGGAACUGCCCUUGAAACUGCCUCGCUAGAAUCUUGGAGAGGUCAGUGGAAUUCCGAGUGUAGAGGUGAAAUUCGUAGAUAUUCGGAAGAACACCAGUGGCGAAGGCGACUGACUGGACAAGUAUUGACGCUGAGGUGCGAAAGCGUGGGGAGCAAACAGGGAUUAGAUACCCUGGUAGUCCACGCCGUAAACGAUGAUAACUAGCUGUCCGGGUUCAUGGAAUUCGGGUGGCGCAGCUAACGCAUUAAGUUAUCCGCCUGGGGAGUACGGUCGCAAGAUUAAAACUCAAAGGAAUUGACGGGGGCCUGCACAAGCGGUGGAGCAUGUGGUUUAAUUCGAAGCAACGCGCAGAACCUUACCAACGUUUGACAUCCCUAUCGCGGUUACCAGAGAUGGUUUCCUUCAGUUCGGCUGGAUAGGUGACAGGUGCUGCAUGGCUGUCGUCAGCUCGUGUCGUGGAGAUGUUGGG
rnacentral:rRNA from 1 species